ensembl:lncRNA
GAAUUCAUGGUUUCCUGAUUCUAUUCUUCUUCUGAAAAUGAACUUCAACUUUCGCCUGAGUAACUGUGAAAGAGUAUUCUGGCUAGAACUUAUCAUUUCCUUUUGUAUGGUCUGCUUAGACAGAAGUAAAAUGAGCCUUAUGAUUUAAAUAAAAAAUAAUUUUAUUAGUACAGGUAAAGAUACUAGUUUUAUAUAGACACUUGCGCCAGAUGCACAACUAGUGGAAAUGCAAGUGUUUCCUUUAUUUUUUCUUCUUCAGUUUCCUCAUAAUCCUUUUUAAAGUACAAUAUAUAGAACACAUCAAACAAAUUUGCAGAUAAUCUUUAUAAGGUUAUCAUUACUGGACCAAGAAGCAAAAGCUGGAAAAAUUAGCCAUUGUUUUUCUUGUUGUCUGUCUUUUAGUUUAUUUAUUUUGAAAGCAGAAUUUGUAAUUAUUUUAUUGUGAAGUCCAGUAAGUUCAUUUUUACAGGGCAUUUUAUGUCAAGAAUAAAAUUAAACAAAUUCUAGGAAUUUAUUACAGUGACAGACUGCUUGGGGAAAAUAAACAUCAUUUUUCAAAACAUUACAACAUUUUUAGAUGCUUGAAGCCUCCAAAAUUAAAGGGGAAAAUAAAAGACUGUCAUCUUCCUACUGAUUUUAAUUAAAUGAAAGGGAUACAGUUCUAAUUAAAUUUUCUUCCUCAGUUUUAGCAUUGGAAAUUAUUUGUUACAUUUUGCUAGCAUACCUUUAUGCAUUCGGCAAACAGGUAUUAAACCCUUCAUUAAACCCGAGGUGUGAUAAGUUGCAGACCUGCAUUAAGCUUGUCAUGCUCUUGCAUCAGCCUUGUCUCAAAGAAUGAAUGAUAUUCUGUCAGCUGCAGUAUUUCAUUUAGCUAAUGAAAAAGUAUCUUCAUGUUAGAUGUCAAGUACUACAACAGGGUCACAUUCUGCUACUUUUAUUUAGUACUGCUUUACUCCAUGUGUAGAUGCAUUGAUGUGAGUGAGACUACUCACAGACCAAAUUGUGAAUCACUUGUAAAAGUUUAUUCACAAUGGCCCUAUUCAUGCAAAGAGUUGCUCACCACAACAUGAGUAAUCGGUUCAUAAUCAGACCCAGCUUAAGGUACUAUUCAGCUCUGGUAAGGAUGGCAGAAUCUGGCCCACACUGGCUUAAGGCCAGACUCAGACUUUUUAACCAAGAUGAGUAGCUCCUUAUUCCAUAAGCAGUGCAAGUAAAGCCAAAGGGUCUAUUUGUAGCGUUCUCUUUUCAUUAAAAAAAUCUUGAAAAGAAGUAUUUCUGUGUAUACAAAUAAUUAGAAUAAAUUUCUAUUCAAGUAAAUGAUCUCAUUUCUUACUGGACUAUACUACUACAUUUGUCAGGACUUGUGUUCUAGUUUUUUGAUUGUAUCCACUUAAUGAUUUCUCAGCACCAGCAACUAAUCUUUUCACUGUUUCUUCAACAUGUGGCAGAUGCACUAAAAACAAAAGGAGGUGAUUUACAUAGUCUUCCUGCCAAGUUCUUUAACUAAUGCUUGAGACAUGUGAUCAUCAUGCAAUGCUGGGCAGUAAAUUUCUAGGACUUCUUUGCAAAGAGUCCCUGUUCUGUUAAAAGAGAAAGUGAAAUAUUGUUGUAAUUAUUGCUGUGAAGAAUUUGUGAUGACAAAGUGCAGAGCUGUUUUUCCUUCUCCUAUGAUUGAUUCAUUAACAAUUUGAAAAUGUUAAGCCUGUGUUUCAAGUCAAAUUUUCGAACAGAUGUAAAUUCAUUCAUGAAAAUUAAAAGUGCUUUCUAAGAUUUGUACAGACUCAUGUGAAUGAUGGACAACACUGCAUUUAGCAACUAAAGACCAUCCACUUACCAUAAAGGUGGUCAGAAGAGUUUGACACAACUGAUGAUUUCUACCUACAGUUUAAUUGGCAGUGUUACACACCACAGAAAUGUAUCAAUGAAGGCAACUUUUGUUGCUGAGAAAGAGCUGAAAUGAACUGUAUUUCUUACUUCACUUCUUUAAUGUCAUAAUAUUUUACGCUGUCAAGUGUUGAAAAAUUCCAGUUCAAUAUGUUAAAAGCAUUUUGUUUUGACUGUAAACUUUACAGUAAGGCCGUGAAAUAUACCAUUUAACAAAUACCAACAAAAUGCAGUAUUGUACAUUUAAUACUGAGAUAUUUUAAAAUGAAGUAAAUACUUAUGGUUGCAAAGAAUAAAAUAUUACAGUGUUUU